rnacentral:tRNA from 1 species
GGCUUUUAUUUCCUUUUGGUUGCAACCCAAGAUAUAUAAAGUUUACCUUUAUGAGAGCCU